GUGAAUCAUCGAAUCUUUGAACGCAAAUUGCACUCUCUGGCAUGCCGGAGAGUAUUCCUGUGUGAGGGUCAGUUUAAAUAAAAAUCGAGGUGUUGUUGUUUUGUGACCCAUCUGAAUUGGCUUAUCUUUGACCUGUUAAAAAGUUUAAGUGACUUAAAAUUGAUACCUUAUUCAUCUCAGACGUACAUAAUAAUAUUUUUUUUUUCUUCCGGAGUCGCCAACUUUAUAUUAUGUGUUAACAUGCUGUUU
rnacentral:misc_RNA from 1 species